rnacentral:rRNA from 1 species
GCAAACCGACACAGGUAGUCAAGGAGAGCAUCCUGAGGCGCUCGAGUGAAUCACGGCCAAGGAACUCGGCAAAAUGGACCUGUAACUUCGGGAGAAGGGUCGCUUCCUGGUAGCAAUACCAGAAGCCGCAGUGAAAAGGCCCAGGCGACUGUUUAACAAAAACACAUGGCUUUGCUAACGCGCAAGCGGACGUAUAAGGCCUGACACCUGCCCGGUGCCGGAAGGUUAAGAGGGGAGCUUAGUCGCAAGGCGAAGGCUUGAAUCGA